ACGCUCGACACCUACGGGAGGCAGCAGUGGGGGAUAUUGCACAAUGGAGGAAACUCUGAUGCAGCGACGCCGCGUGAGGGAAGAAGGUUUUCGGAUUGUAAACCUCUGUCUUCGGUGACGAAAAUGACGGUAGCCGAGGAGGAAGCCACGGCUAACUACGUGCUAGCAGCCGCGGUAAUCUGAGCGGGCUGGCAAGGC
rnacentral:rRNA from 1 species